AGGACGUGGAAGUCAGAUCUUUGGUGGAUGAUGGCCGGUGGAUCCACAUCAGAUAGGCUGAUAUCAAUGAAGGAUGUGCACAUUUCUUCCAUCGAAAAAGGAGAAGUUUGGUUACGACGUGAAGCUGAAUCAGGUGCACUGGUUGCCUUGAGUGUACUUUGUACAAGAAAUACGAGGGUACAAGUUGUUGAAAGCCAAUAUGCCAGAUCAUCGAUAUUGUUCUGACUCUUAAAAGACAUUUCACAUCUCACUUUGAUCAAAUAGUAUGCAUAUCAAGUUGAUCAUGUUUAAUAUAUAUGUAUAUAUGUAUAUAUGUCGGUUGAAGAAUGAAGGCUAUUACCUCUACCAUA